rnacentral:lncRNA from 1 species
AGAGAUGGCAGGUGGUGGGGCAGGGCUGGUGGAAGAAAAAGAAAUAGAAUUCACUUGGCAUCCAGGAUUGUCACUUAUCGUGCCCCUGUAUUGAAAAGCCACAAAAUGAGACUGAAAAGUUGGGCAUCAGAAAGAGGAUUAUGUCUAUUUUCACCACCCUUAUACUUUGCCGCCACAGGUUAGUUUAAUUAACCUGUGAGACAAAGUGUUGAACCCUCUGAAAAGAUAGGGGCUUUCAGAGGUGCCUUAGAGGCAAGAAACACAACAAUAUUUAUAUUUCUUUUUGGCUGAGGAAGGUCACUGUGGUGACAGUUUCAGGAGGACACCUGCAUUCUUCUCUUUUGUCAACAGGACUCGGAAUAUAAACAAAACAUGCAGUCACUUCCCACCAGGAUGUAUCCUUCUGGAUGUCAGCACACGUGCAAGAUGACAAUUUCAGGUUGACUGGUGAUGUCUGGCUUACAAUUGAGUAUGAAGUCUGCACUGUGGCUCAGCUGAGGGCAAGACACAUCCAGGUGGGUGAGCAGGUCUGCUAUGGGAACUCACUCUUGCAUUCUAAUUUCCCUAAGUAUUUGGGGAUGUUUCUCUAUGGUAUACCAAGAACAUUCUGACAUUUUAACCUCAUUUCAUAUAGGUCUCCUCUGAGUCCAUGAUUCAGCCAACCAAUUGAGAAAAUUAUAGUGCUAUUCCUAGCCCCUCAAGUUAAGACACUGAAUCAAUAAAUCCCCAUCAAGACAUACAGCGUGAUACAAUUGUCUAUUCUUUCCAUCUUAAUCCCACAUCCUUAAGAUACAUUGGGAGGCCGAGGUGGGUGGAUCACGAGGUCAAGAGAUCGAGACCAUCCUGGUCAACAUGGUGAAACCCUGUCUCUACUAAAAAUACGAAAAAUUAGCUGGGCAUGGUGGCGCAUGACUGUAAUCCCAGCUACUCAGGAGGCUGAGGCAGGAGAAUUGUCUGAACCCAGGAGGUGGAGGUUGCAGUGAGCCAAGAUUGCGCCAUUGCACUCCAGCCUGGGUAACAAGAGCGAAACUCUGUCUCAAAAAAAAAAAAAAAAAAAGAUACAUUGUCACUCUUAUUUCCCAGGUUUUGUUUCUAUUAGUUGGCAAAUCAUGCAACUGUUUGGAUGUGUAUCAUAUCCCAUCACAAGUUUGAGACUUAAAUCAACUCUGGGUCUAGAAGGAAGGAGGAGUGGGAGUAGAACUU